rnacentral:lncRNA from 1 species
UUAGGUUUAGCUCCCUGAUCAAUGGAGGCUGGUUCUGGAAUUUGUAUGAUGCUAUCCACUUGAUUUGGUACCCCUUCAAUCACAUCAGUAGUGAUUGAUUCUUUUUUGUCGUCCUCUUCGACAACCUUUUCUGCUACUUCAGGAGAAGGUUCCACAAUAUUUGCUUGAGGUUCUUCAUUUGAUGAAACUUGUGCAGCAUUUUCAGUGUGGCUAGUUUCCUCCUCUUUGUCAGUUUUCACAAUAUUUGCUUGAGGUUCUUUAUUGUCAUCCUCUUCAACAACCUUUUCUGCUACUACCGGAGAAGGUUCCACAAUAUUUGCUUGAGGUUCUUCAUUUGGUGAAACUGGUGCAGCAUUUUCAGUGUGGAUAGUUUCCUCCUCUUUGUCAGUUUUCUCUUCCUUGAUCGUGUCAUCUGAAGUCCCUUCGCUCUUGGAGAUCUCAAGCACAACUUCAGGAGAAGGUUCCACAAGAUUUGCUAGAGGUUCCUCAUGUGAUGAGACUUGUGCUGCAUCUCUAGUGAGGCUAGCUUCCUCCUCUUUGUCAGUUUUCUCUUCCUUGACCGUGUCAUCUGAAGUUCCUUCACUCUUAGAAGCCUCAAGCACCACUUCAAGAGAAGGUUCCGCAAGAUUUGAUUGAGGUUCCUCAUUUGAUAAAACUUGCGCAGCAUUUACAGUGAGGCUAGUUUCCUCCUCUUUAUCAGUUUUCUCUUCCUUGAUCAGGUCAUCUGAAGUUCCUUCAGUCUUGGCAGUCUCAAUCACAAUUUCUCGCUUAUUCUCCACGUCCUUACAAGCUUCCGCACCUUCCUCAUCUACUUGUAGCUGUUCUCUUGGCUUUUCCUCCAUUUCAAUUGACUGAGGUUCUGGUUU